rnacentral:rRNA from 1 species
AGAGUUUGAUCCUGGCUCAGGACGAACGCUGGCGGUGUGCUUCACACAUGCAAGUCGAACGAGGUAGCAAUACCUAGUGGCGGACGGGUGAGUAACACGUGGGAAUCUUCCUUUGGGUGGGGGAUAGCAGGCCGAAAGGCCUAUUAAUACCGACUAUAUGUGCAUAUUUCGACAGAGGUAUGCAUGAAAGCAGUAAUGCGCCCGAAGAUGAGCCCGCGCCCGAUUAGCUAGUUGGUAGUGUAACGGACUACCAAGGCUACGAUCGGUAGGUGGUCUGAGAGGGUGAUCACCCACAAUGGGACUGAGACACGGCCCAUACUCCUACGGGAGGCAGCAGUGGGGAAUUUUACGCAAUGGGGGAAACCCUGACGUAGCGACACCGCGUGAGCGAUGAAGCCCCUUGGGGUGUAAAGCUCUGUCGGCUGGGACGAAAAAAAUGACGGUACCAGCAAAGGAAGCAUCGGCUAACUACGUGCCAGCAGCCGCGGUAAGACGUAGGAUGCAAGCGUUGUCCGGAUUCAUUGGGCGUAAAGCGUUCGUAGGUGGUUUAUUAAGUCUGAUGUUAAAGAUCGGGGCUCAACCUCGGGAGUGCAUUGGAUACUGGUAGACUUGAGUAUGGUAGAGGCGAGUGGAAUUCCCAGUGUAGCGGUGAAAUGCGUAGA